GCGAGCGUUAAUCGGAAUUACUGGGCGUAAAGCGCGAGUAGGCGGCUUUGCAAGUCGAGUGUGAAAUCCCCAGGCUUAACCUGGGAACUGCUCUCGAGACUGCAUAGCUAGAGUAUGGGAGAGGGAAGUGGAAUUUCAGGUGUAGCGGUGAAAUGCGUAGAUAUCUGAAGGAACAUCAGUGGCGAAAGCGACUUCCUGGACCAAUACUGACGCUCAUGUGCGAAAGCGUGGGGAGCAAACAGG
rnacentral:rRNA from 1 species